rnacentral:rRNA from 1 species
GAUGAACGCUGGCGGCAUGCCUAAUACAUGCAAGUCGAGCGAACGGACGAGAAGCUUGCUUCUCUGAUGUUAGCGGCGGACGGGUGAGUAACACGUGGAUAACCUACCUAUAAGACUGGGAUAACUUCGGGAAACCGGAGCUAAUACCGGAUAAUAUUUUGAACCGCAUGGUUCAAAAGUAAAAGACGGUCUUGCUGUCACUUAUAGAUGGAUCCGCGCUGCAUUAGCUAGUUGGUAAGGUAACGGCUUACCAAGGCAACGAUGCAUAGCCGACCUGAGAGGGUGAUCGGCCACACUGGAACUGAGACACGGUCCAGACUCCUACGGGAGGCAGCAGUAGGGAAUCUUCCGCAAUGGGCGAAAGCCUGACGGAGCAACGCCGCGUGAGUGAUGAAGGUCUUCGGAUCGUAAAACUCUGUUAUUAGGGAAGAACAUAUGUGUAAGUAACUGUGCACAUCUUGACGGUACCUAAUCAGAAAGCCACGGCUAACUACGUG